GUAAUGAUUCUAAUCCAAAACAGGCCAAAAAACUCGCAAAAUUGUUGUCUGGUCAGGCAUCACGUCGAGCCCCAUACUGGACUCGACGAGUCCAAGGUAAACUUCAACCUACUCGUCAAGUACAAGAAUGGACUCGCCACGAAACUUAUGCGAAGGGUGAAGGAAUGCAUCAGCUUGUGCAUGGAAGUCUAAAUGCGGUAAGUGUGAACGGAAUCGCCACUCUCGCAAAGAAUGCACCCUAGAAGUAGAAUUGUGUCAUCAUUGUCAUCAGCUUGUCAUCAGCCUACUCAUGUCAUGGCAGAUUUCUAGCGUUUAGCGGUUGGGGUGGCUCAGGUUGAUUUGCGAGUGCUUCUACAGGGAGGGGGAGCAGAACCCUACGACACUACAGGUAUGUAUCAUAUUCUUCUCUUUUUCGCUUAAAUCAUUAUGCUAAUAAUUCCAUAACUUGAGGACAAGUUAUGGAUUCCACCAAAAUCAAUUAGAUCAAAAAUUCUAACUAAAAAAUCAAACAAGUUGACUAUGAUCUAAUUAAACUCAUAAGACAAGAUAAUUCAUAUCAAACAAGUUUCAAGAAAUUAGCCUAACCAUAUAAACUAAUACAAAUCAUGAAACUUUGACAAUUAUCUUUUGUUUGGAUGAUAAUCAUCAUUACCAUAUCAACAAAAUCAGAUUUUAUGAACUAAAAUAUUUUUUGGUAAUGAUUCUAAUCCAAAACAGGCCAAAAACACGCAAAAUUGUUGUCUAGUCAGGCAACAAGUCGAGCCCCAUACUGGACUCGACGAGUCCAAGGUAAACUUCAACCUACUCAUCAAGUACCAGAAUGGACUCGCCACGAAACUUAUGCGAAGGGUGAAGGAAUGCAUGAGCUUGUGCAUGGAAGUCUAAAUGCGGUAAGUGUGAACGGAAUCGCCACUCUCGCAAAGAAUGCACCCUAGAAGUAGAAUUGUGUCAUCAUUGUCAUCAGCUUGUCAUCAGCUUGCUCAUAUCAUGGCAGAUUUCUAGCGUUUAGUGGUUGGGGUGGCUCAGGUUGAAUUGCGAGUGCUUAUAUAAGGAGGGGGGGUAGAACCCUAAGAUAGUACGGGUGUGUAUCAUAUUCUUCUCUUUUACGCUUAAAUCAUUAUGCUAAUAAUUCCAUAACUUGAGGACAAGUUAUGGAUUUCACCAAAAUCAAUUAAUUCAAAAAUUCUGACUAAAAAGUCAAACAAUUUGCCUAUGAUCUAAUUUAAAUCAUAAGAUAAGAUAAUCCAUAUCAAACAAGUUUCUAGAAAUUAGCCUAACCAUAUAAACUAAUACAAUUCAUGAAACUUUGACAAUUAUCUUUUGUUUGGAUGAUAAUCAUCAUUACCAUAUCAACAAAAUCAGAUUUUAUGAACUAAAAUAUUUUUUGGUAAUGAUUCUAAUCCAAAACAGGCCAAAAAACUCGAAAAAUUGUUGUCUGGUCAGGCAUCACAUCGAGCCCCAUACUGGACUCGACGAGUCCAAGGUAAACUUCAACCUACUCGUCAAGUACAAGAAUGGACUCGCCACGAAACUUAUGCGAAGGGUGAAGGAAUGCAUGAGCUUGAGCAUGGAAGUCUAAAUGUGGUAAGUAUGAACGGAAUCGCCACUCUCACAAAGAAUGCACCCUAGAAGUAGAAUUGUGUCAUCAUUGUCAUCAGCUUUCAUCAUCCUACUCAUAUCAUGGCAGAUUUCUAGCGAUUAGUGGUUGGGGUGGCUCAGGUUGAAUUGCGAGUGCUUCUACAGGGAGGGGGAGCAGAAACCUACGACACUACAGGUAUGUAUCAUAUUCUUCUCUUUUUCGCUUAAAUCAUUAUGCUAAUAAUUCCAUAACUUGAGGACAAGUUAUGGAUUCCACCAAAAUCAAUUAGAUCAAAAAUUCUAACUAAAAAAUCAAACAAUUUGCCUAUGAUCUAAUUAAACUCAUAAGAUAAGAUAAUUCAUAUCAAACAAGUUUCAAGAAAUUAGCCUAACCAUAUAAACUAAUACAAAUCAUGAAACUUUGACAAUUAUCUUUUGUUUGGAUGAUAAUCAUCAUUACCAUAUCAACAAAAUCAGAUUUUAUGAACUAAAAUAUUUUUUGGUAAUGAUUCUAAUCCAAAACAGGCCAAAAAACUCGCAAAAUUGUUGUCUGGUCAGGCAUCACGUCGAGCCCCAUACUGGACUCGACGAGUCCAAGGUAAACUUCAACCUACUCGUCAAGUACAAGAAUGGACUCGCCACGAGACUUAUGCGAAGGGUGAAGGAAUGCAUGUGCUUGUGCAUGGAAGUCUAAAUGCGGUAAGUGUGAACGGAAUCGCCACUCUCACAAAGAAUGCACCCUAGAAGUAGAAUUAUGUCAUCGUUGUCAUCAGCUUGUCAUCAGCUUGCUCAUAUCAUGGCAGAUUUCUAGCGUUUAGUGGCUGGGGUGGCUCAGGUUGAAUUGCGAGUGCUUCUAUAAGGAGGCGGAGUAGAACCCUAAGAUACUAUGGGUGUGUAUCAUAUUCUUCUCUUUUACGCUUAAAUCAUUAUGCUAAUAAUUCCAUAACUUGAGGACAAGUUAUGGAUUUCACUAAAAUCAAUUAGAUCAAAAAUUCUAAUUAAAAAAUAAACAAUUUGCCUAUGAUCUAAUUAAACUCAUAAGAUAAGAUAAUUCAUAUCAAACAAGUUUCUAGAAAUUAGCCUAACCAUUUUAACUAAUACAAAUCAUGGAACUUUGACAAUUAUCUUUUAUUUGGAUGAUAAUCAUCAUUACCAUAUCAAGAAAAUCAGAUUUUAUGAACUAAAAUAUUUUUUGGUAAUGAUUCUAAUCCAAAACAGGCCAAAAAACUCGAAAAACUGUUGUCUGGACAGGCAACUCGCCGAGCCCCAUACUGGACUCGACGAGUCCAAGGUAAACUUCAACCUACUCGUCAAGUACAAGAAUGGACUCGCCACGAAACUUAUGCGAAGGGUGAAGGAAUGCAUGAGCUUGUGCAUGGAAGUCUAAAUGCGGUAAGUGUGAACGGAAUCGCCACUCUCGCAAAGAAUGCACCCUAGAAGUAGAAUUGUGUCAUCAUUGUCAUCAGCUUUCAUCAGCCUACUCAUAUCAUGGCAGAUUUCUAGCGAUUAGUGGUUGGGGUGGCUCAGGUUGAAUUGCGAGUGCUUCUACAGGGAGGGGGAGCAGAACCCUACGACACUACAGGUAUGUAUCAUAUUCUUCUCUUUUUCGCUUAAAUCAUUAUGCUAAUAAUUCCAUAACUUGAGGACAAGUUAUGGAUUCCACCAAAAUCAAUUAGAUCAAAAAUUCUAACUAAAAAAUCAAACAAUUUGCCUAUGAUCUAAUUAAACUCAUAAGAUAAGAUAAUUCAUAUCAAACAAGUUUCAAGAAAUUAGCCUAACCAUAUAAACUAAUACAAAUCAUGAAACUUUGACAAUUAUCUUUUGUUUGGAUGAUAAUCAUCAUUUCCAUAUCAACAAAAUCAGAUUUUAUGAACUAAAAUAUUUUUUGGUAAUGAUUCUAAUCCAAAACAGGCCAAAAAACUCGCAAAAUUGUUGUCUGGUCAGGCAUCACGUCGAGCCCCAUACUGGACUCGACGAGUCCAAGGUAAACUUCAACCUACUCGUCAAGUACAAGAAUGGACUCGCCACGAAACUUAUGCGAAGGGUGAAGGAAUGCAUGAGCUUGUGCAUGGAAGUCUAAAUGCGGAAAGUGUGAACGAAAUCGCCACUCUCGCAAAGAAUGCACCCUAGAAGUAGAAUUGUGUCAUCAUUGUCAUCAGCUUACUCAUAUCAUGGCAGAUUUCUAGCGUUUAGGGGCUAGGGUCGCUCAGGUUGAAUUGCGAGUGCUUCUAUAAGGAGGGAGAGUAGAACCCUAAGAUACUACGGGUGUGUAUCAUAUUCUUCUCUUUUACGCUUACAUCAUUAUGCUAAUAAUUCCAUAACUUGAGGACAAGUUAUGGAUUUCACCAAAAUCAAUUAAUUCAAAAAUUCUGACUAAAAAGUCAAACAAUUUGCCUAUGAUCUAAUUUAAAUCAUAAGAUAAGAUAAUUCAUAUCAAACAAGUUUCUAGAAAUUAGCCUAACCAUAUAAACUAAUACAAUUCAUGAAACUUUGACAAUUAUCUUUUAUUUGGAUGAUAAUCAUCAUUACCAUAUCAAGAAAAUCAGAUUUUAUGAACUAAAAUAUUUUUUGGUAAUGAUUCUAAUCCAAAACAGGCCAAAAAACUCGAAAAACUGUUGUCUGGACAGGCAACUCGCCGAGCCCCAUACUGGACUCGACGAGUCCAAGGUAAACUUCAACCUACUCGUCAAGUACAAGAAUGGACUCGCCACGAAACUUAUGCGAAGGGUGAAGGAAUGCAUGAGCUUGUGCAUGGAAGUCUAAAUGCGGUAAAUGUGAACGGAAUCGCCACUCUCGCAAAGAAUGCACCCUAGAAGUAGAAUUGUGUCAUCAUUGUCAUCAGCUUUCAUCAGCCUACUCAUAUCAUGGCAGAUUUCUAGCGAUUAGUGGUUGGGGUGGCUCAGGUUGAAUUGCGAGUGCUUCUACAGGGAGGGGGAGCAGAACCCUACGACACUACAGGUAUGUAUCAUAUUCUUCUCUUUUUCGCUUAAAUCAUUAUGCUAAUAAUUCCAUAACUUGAGGACAAGUUAUGGAUUCCACCAAAAUCAAUUAGAUCAAAAAUUCUAACUAAAAAAUCAAACAAUUUGCCUAUGAUCUAAUUAAACUCAUAAGAUAAGAUAAUUCAUAUCAAACAAGUUUCAAGAAAUUAGCCUAACCAUAUAAACUAAUACAAAUCAUGAAACUUUGACAAUUAUCUUUUGUUUGGAUGAUAAUCAUCAUUACCAUAUCAACAAAAUCAGAUUUUAUGAACUAAAAUAUUUUUUGGUAAUGAUUCUAAUCCAAAACAGGCCAAAAAACUCGCAAAAUUGUUGUCUGGUCAGGCAACAAGUUGAGCCCCAUACUGGACUCGACGAGUCCAAGGUAAACUUCAACCUACUCGUCAAGUACAAGAAUGGACUCGCCACGAAACUUAUGCGAAGGGUGAAGGAAUGCAUGAGCUUGUGCAUGGAAGUCUAAAUGCGGUAAGUGUGAACGGAAUCGCCACUCUCGCAAAGAAUGCACCCUAGAAGUAGAAUUGUGUCAUCAUUGUCAUCAGCUUGCUCAUAUAAUGGCAGAUUUCUAGCGUUUAGUGGCUGGGGUGGCUCAGGUUGAAUUGCGAGUGCUUCUAUAAGGAGGGGGAGUAGAACCCUAAGAUACUACAUGUGUGUUUCAUAUUCUUCUCUUUUACGCUUAAAUCAUUAUGCUAAUAAUUCCAUAACUUGAGAACAAGUUAUGGAUUUCACUAAAAUCAAUUAGAUCAAAAAUUCUAAUUAAAAAAUCAAACAAUUUGCCUAUGAUCUAAUUAAACUCAUAAGAUAAGAUAAUUCAUAUCAAACAAGUUUCAAGAAAUUAGCCUAAUCAUAUAAACUAAUACAAAUCAUGAAACUUUGACAAUUAUCUUUUAUUUGGAUGAGAAUCAUCAUUACCAUAUCAACAAAAUCAGAUUUUAUGAACUAAAAUAUUUUUUGGUAAUGAUUCUAAUCGAUAACAGGCCAAAAAAUUCGAAAAACUGUUGUCUGGACAGGCAACUCGUCGAGCCCCAUACUGGACUCGACGAGUCCAAGGCAAAAUUUAACUUACUCGUCAAGUACAAGAAUGGACUCGUUAAGUAGGGCUGUCAGUAAUUUUCAGCUCAUCAAAUUAACACAUGGCAUCAAAUGUAAAAGAAAACAACCCCUGGCUAUGAUACCACUGAUGUGUUUUAGUAUACUGCAACAUCCUAUGGUGUACAUACAACCCUAAAUGCAUUGGAUCUAUGUUUUAUCUAGUUAUACAUGCAAUAUUGUUUCCAAAGCAUUAAGCCUACAACUAUCAUACAAAAUGAUAUAAACAACAUUAAAUUCAGUUAUGGAGUUACCUCUUGGUUGUGGCUUGUAGAACUUGUUGUGUUUGGCAUUAAGAACUUAGUGCCCCAAGUGUUGCACCUCAAAUGGAAUCAAAACACACCUUUGGACAAAGGAUGACUUUUGAGAGAAUCUUCUUACACUCAAAUAGGCUCAUGAACUCGUAGAAAAUCUACUGUAUGACUUUGGAUGCUAAGGGGCUUCUUAUAUAGUGUUGCAAGAUUAGGGUUAGCACCAUGUAAACCCUAAUGCCCAUGACUCUUCAUAUUACCUAGGAUCCAUGGGUUAAACCUCCAUGGACAAACCAAGGACUACCAUAUUGGUUUAGCCCUUCCUAAAUAACAAUUAGCCCACACUAUAAGAAUAAUUGAUUUACUGAAUCAGUCCCCAUAUAUUUAAUUAGUCUCUUUUGGUCACAAAAUUAAUUCCAAAUUAAUUAUUGACCAAUACUAAUUAAAUCAUAUGAAUUCAUAAUAGUAUAUUAGAACUUAUAAUAUAUUAAAAAAUCAUAAAUAACCUCUUCUCAAAAGUCCAUGCUAUAAAAUUUUCCUGGUGAUAUGCAACCCAAAUAGACCAUGCUACUCUCGGGUCAAGUACAUAUGAAUUAUAGUUUUCGACUUGGACACCUUAUCCAACAGCCGGUGGGACGAGGAUUAAUUGGGUAUGUUUUGAUCUCGUGUAUGGUUUAUUUUUAGAAUGGUGAUGAGCACAUAAGGAGGAAGUUCAGGUUCUGGUUUACGCUCAGGUGCAGGUUUUGAGCCAAUAGAUGAGCAAAUGCAGGAGUUUAUCUCAUCGGAGAUCACCCAUGGUAUUUUGGACCAGACUCCUGUGACGUUUGGUACCAUCAAUGAAGGAAUCAAGGAAAUCUUGUACGAUCGUCUCGAGGCUUUUCAGGCCGAUUUUGCAGCAUGGAAGUUAGAGGGGGCCCAUCGGGGGCUCAAGGCUUAUGGAGCCCUAUACUCCUUCAGGGAGGAGGAUCCUAUUAAUAGCUCUUGUUAUGAGGAAUUGAAGGUGGAUUAUGCAUCAUGGCUUCAUGGGGAUCAAUUCCAUGAUUGGAUGCCACUGAGGUUUUUUGAGCUUUACGUGAGGAGUCACCCAACAUCAAUGGUCGUGUCAUUGGCAGACUGGUCGCCAGAUUCAAGGAUCGGAUAUCAGCUGUUCAGACAGUUGAUGGGAUGGUUGAUGUGACUUGGGAGAACAGGAGCUGGGUUUGGAGAGGCAACUGGGGAAGAGGAAGCGGACUCAUGAUUCGACACUGCUAGCAACAUCUAAGCAAUCUGAUGUUUCCAUGUCUAGUGCUAGAGGCCUGAGGGGCCACGAAACUUAUGCGAAGUGUGAAGGAACGCAUGAGCUUGUGCACGACAAGUACAAAUGCGGUAAGUCUGAAUGGAAGGGCCAAUAUCGCAAAGAAUGCACCCUAGAAGUAGAAUUGUGUCAUCAUUGUCAUUAGCCUGCUCAUAACAUGGCAUAUUUCUAGCGUUUAGUGGUUAGGGUGGCUCAGGUUGAAUUGCGAGUGCUUCUACAGGGAGGGGGAGUAGAACCCUAAGACACUACGGGUAUGUAUCAUAUUCUUCUCUUUUACGGCUAAAUCAUUAUGCUAAUAAUUCCAUAACUUGAGGACAAGUUAUGGAUUUCACCAAAAUCAUUUAGAUCAAAAGUUCUAACUAAAAAAUAAAACAAUUUGCCAAUGAUCUAAUUAAACUCAUAAGAAAAGAUAACUCAUAUCAAACAAGUUUCAAGAAAUUAGCCUAAUCAUAUAAGCUAAUACAAAUCAUGAAACUUUGACAAUUAUCUUUUAUUUGGAUGAUAAUCUUCAUUACCAUAUCAACAAAAUCAGAUUUUACGAACUAAAAUAUUUUGUGGUAAUGAUUCUAAUCCAAAACAGACCAAAAAACUCGAAAACUGUUGUCUGGACAGGCAACUCGUGGAGCCCCAUAUUGGACUCGACGAUUCCAAGAAAAAUUUCAACCUACUCGUCAAUUACAAGAAUAGACUCGCCACGAAACUUAUGUGAAGGGUGAACGAAUGCAUGAGCUUGUGCACGACAAGUCUAAAUGUGGUAAAUGUGAACGGAAUGGCAACUCUCUCAAAGAAUGCACCCUAGAAGUAGAAUUGUGUCAUCAUUGUCAUCAGCCAACUCAUAUCAUGGCAGAUUUCUAGCGUUUAGCGGUUCGGGUGGCUCAGGUUGAUUUGCGAGUGCUUCUACAGGGAGGGGGAGCAGAACCCUAAGACACUACGGGUAUGUAUCAUAUUCUUCUCUUUUACGCUUAAAUCAUUAUGCUAAUAAUUCCAUAACUUGAGGACAAGUUAUGGAUUUCACCGAAAUUAAUUAAUUCAAAAAUUCUGACUAAAAAGUCAAACAAUUUGCCUAUGAUCUAAUUUAAAUCAUAAGAUAAGAUAAUUCAUAUCAAACAAGUUUCUAGAAAUUAGUCUAACCAUAUAAACUAAUACAAUUCAUGAAACUUUGACAAUUAUCUUUUAUCCGGAUAAUAAUCAUCAUUACCAUAUAAAAAAAAUCAGAUUUUAUGAACUAAAAUAUUUUUUGGUAAUGAUUCUAAUCCAAAAC
rnacentral:lncRNA from 1 species